CAUAUAUGUAUAUGCAGGCGGCAAAGCCUACUCAUCCGUCUGUUAAAUUUUUUUCAUUUUAAAAUAAUUUUUUUGCGAUAACAAAUUUGAAAUUGGUGACAGCAUAGCCAGCCACUGCAAGCGCCGCUGCCACGCCCCGCAAAAAGAGACACACACAUGUGCAUGUGCAUGACUUGCGCGCAAGCCGUAGUUUUCGUGGGGAGGAUAUUAAGCAGCGUCAAAAGCGCCCCGCCCAAAGCAGCAGACACAUACAAGCAGGCGUAUAAAAAAACGAAGUAAAAAAAUGCCGGCCGGCACGCUCAGGUAGGGAGAGGGAGCAAAAGAAAAGCUUUAACCUCACACACACAUAAAAGGAAACAGCGACAAAGGCGCUUCAACAGCUGCGUUUUACAAGGGGCGAGAGGGAGAGAGGUAUAAAAGCCAAACCUAACGGAAGCGCAGUCAACAAAAAAAAACCAGUUAAGUGCUUUUUCUACUCUCUUCUGUCUUCGGCUUCUUCUUGCAGAUUUCUUUUGGCCGUCUGCCACAAUGGAAGGAGAAUUGAAAAGAAAUUGCCGGCCCACAAUAUAAGGGGAGGGGGGCGGAGGCGGAUGAGAAUUAAAAUAAAUUAAAUGUUAGGCUCACCUUAAGUUGUUUUUUGUUUGCUUUGGAUUCACAAAAAAAAGAUACCGGUGAGGUGUAGCUAUCUGGCUAGGUUUGGUUGGCUCUGCUCUAUAUAUAUUUAUAUAUAAGCGGUAUACACUAUGCAAAUUUUUACACUUGAUUUCAGAAAUUUAUUUUCAUUCAAUUCGGCCGCGGAGAGCACAAGCUAACUAGAUGGACGACGUCAAAACUGGAUUUGAAUCAAUUUUAAAAA